rnacentral:rRNA from 3 species
AGAACCUGAAACCGUGUGCUUACAAGUAGUCAGAGCCCGUUAAUGGGUGAUGGCGUGCCUUUUGUAGAAUGAACCGGCGAGUUACGAUUUGAUGCAAGGUUAAGCAGUAAAUGUGGAGCCGUAGCGAAAGCGAGUCUGAAUAGGGCGUUUAGUAUUUGGUCGUAGACCCGAAACCAGGUGAUCUACCCUUGGUCAGGUUGAAGUUCAGGUAACACUGAAUGGAGGACCGAACCGACUUACGUUGAAAAGUGAGCGGAUGAACUGAGGGUAGCGGAGAAAUUCCAAUCGAACCUGGAGAUAGCUGGUUCUCUCCGAAAUAGCUUUAGGGCUAGCCUCAAGUGAUGAUUAUUGGAGGUAGAGCACUGUUUGGACGAGGGGCCCCUCUCGGGUUACCGAAUUCAGACAAACUCCGAAUGCCAAUUAAUUUAACUUGGGAGUCAGAACAUGGGUGAUAAGGUCCGUGUUCGAAAGGGAAACAGCCCAGACCACCAGCUAAGGUCCCAAAAUAUAUGUUAAGUGGAAAAGGAUGUGGCGUUGCCCAGACAACUAGGAUGUUGGCUUAGAAGCAGCCAUCAUUUAAAGAGUGCGUAAUAGCUCACUAGUCGAGUGACACUGCGCCGAAAAUGUACCGGGGCUAAACAUAUUACCGAAGCUGUGGAUUGUCCUUUGGACAAUGGUAGGAGAGCGUUCUAAGGGCGUUGAAGCAUGAUCGUAAGGACAUGUGGAGCGCUUAGAAGUGAGAAUGCCGGUGUGAGUAGCGAAAGACGGGUGAGAAUCCCGUCCACCGAUUGACUAAGGUUUCCAGAGGAAGGCUCGUCCGCUCUGGGUUAGUCGGGUCCUAAGCUGAGGCCGACAGGCGUAGGCGAUGGAUAACAGGUUGAUAUUCCUGUACCACCUAUAAUCGUUUUAAUCGAUGGGGGGACGCAGUAGGAUAGGCGAAGCGUGCGAUUGGAUUGCACGUCUAAGCAGUAAGGCUGAGUAUUAGGCAAAUCCGGUACUCAUUAAGGCUGAGCUGUGAUGGGGAGAAGACAUUGUGUCUUCGAGUCGUUGAUUUCACACUGCCGAGAAAAGCCUCUAGAUAGAAAAUAGGUGCCCGUACCGCAAACCGACACAGGUAGUCAAGAUGAGAAUUCUAAGGUGAGCGAGCGAACUCUCGUUAAGGAACUCGGCAAAAUGACCCCGUAACUUCGGGAGAAGGGGUGCUCUUUAGGGUUAACGCCCAGAAGAGCCGCAGUGAAUAGGCCCAAGCGACUGUUUAUCAAAAACACAGGUCUCUGCUAAACCGUAAGGUGAUGUAUAGGGGCUGACGCCUGCCCGGUGCUGGAAGGUUAAGAGGAGUGGUUAGCUUCUGCGAAGCUACGAAUCGAAGCCCCAGUAAACGGCGGCCGUAACUAUAACGGUCCUAAGGUAGCGAAAUUCCUUGUCGGGUAAGUUCCGACCCGCACGAAAGGCGUAACGAUUUGGGCACUGUCUCAACGAGAGACUCGGUGAAAUCAUAGUACCUGUGAAGAUGCAGGUUACCCGCGACAGGACGGAAAGACCCCGUGGAGCUUUACUGUAGCCUGAUAUUGAAAUUCGGCACAGCUUGUACAGGAUAGGUAGGAGCCUUUGAAACGUGAGCGCUAGCUUACGUGGAGGCGCUGGUGGGAUACUACCCUAGCUGUGUUGGCUUUCUAACCCGCACCACUUAUCGUGGUGGGAGACAGUGUCAGGCGGGCAGUUUGACUGGGGCGGUCGCCUCCUAAAAGGUAACGGAGGCGCUCAAAGGUUCCCUCAGAAUGGUUGGAAAUCAUUCAUAGAGUGUAAAGGCAUAAGGGAGCUUGACUGCGAGACCUACAAGUCGAGCAGGGUCGAAAGACGGACUUAGUGAUCCGGUGGUUCCGCAUGGAAGGGCCAUCGCUCAACGGAUAAAAGCUACCCCGGGGAUAACAGGCUUAUCUCCCCCAAGAGUUCACAUCGACGGGGAGGUUUGGCACCUCGAUGUCGGCUCAUCGCAUCCUGGGGCUGUAGUCGGUCCCAAGGGUUGGGCUGUUCGCCCAUUAAAGCGGUACGCGAGCUGGGUUCAGAACGUCGUGAGACAGUUCGGUCCCUAUCCGUCGUGGGCGUAGGAAAUUUGAGAGGAGCUGUCCUUAGUACGAGAGGACCGGGAUGGACAUACCUCUGGUGUACCAGUUGUCGUGCCAACGGCAUAGCUGGGUAGCUAUGUGUGGACGGGAUAAGUGCUGAAAGCAUCUAAGCAUGAAGCCCCCCUCAAGAUGAGAUUUCCCAACUUCGGUUAUAAGAUCCCUCAAAGAUGAUGAGGUUAAUAGGUUCGAGGUGGAAGCAUGGUGACAUGUGGAGCUGACGAAUACUAAUCGAUCGAAGACUUAAUCAA